GUCAAAGGGCAUCAAAGAUUUUGGUCCGAAAGAUAUUGGUAAUCUCUUCCGACGAAACCUGUCGUCGAUUUUUUUUGUUUCCAGAGAAAACUGCAGAAGGUCUUAGGUGAAAUUCAUAGUAAGAAGUUGAAAUCCAUCAAAAUCCAUCAAAGUUUUUGGUUCUGAUCGGUGGUUCAACUCUGAUGGAAAGACGGCCUCGAAUCAGUUGUUUCCCACUGCACCUUUAAGUAAAAACACGUGUCUAGUACGUGUCUCAUUGUAAACUUAGGUUCUUGCUUUGCUGUAUCACUUGUAUAGGUUUAUGUUUGGGCUUUUAUUUUGGACUAUUGAGCUCCGUUCAUUCACUUGUAAUCUGCCUUUGUUGGGUAUUUAAAGAAUAAAUGGUUAAUA